GACGAACGCUGGCGGCAUGCCUAAUACAUGCAAGUCGAGCGAACAGAUGAAGUGCUUGCACUUCUGACGUUAGCGGCGAACGGGUGAGUAACACGUAAGGAAUCUACCUAUAAGCGGGGGAUAACAUUCGGAAACGGGUGCUAAUACCGCAUACUAUCUUCUUCCGCAUGGAAGAAGAUUGAAAGACGGCUCUGCUGUCACUUAUAGAUGACCUUGCGGUGCAUUAGUUAGUUGGUGGGGUAAUGGCCUACCAAGACGAUGAUGCAUAGCCGACCUGAGAGGGGGAUCGGCCACAUUGGGACUGAGACACGGCCCAAACUCCUACGGGAGGCAGCAGUAGGGAAUCUUCCGCAAUGGGCGAAAGCCUGACGGAGCAAUGCCGCGGGAGUGAAGAAGGCCUUCGGGUCGUAAAACUCUGUUAUAAGAGAAGAACAAAUUGUAGAGUAACUGCUACAGUCUUGACGGUAUCUUAUCAGAAAGCCACGGCUAACUACGUGCCAGCAGCCGCAGUAA
rnacentral:rRNA from 1 species